GACGAACCGUACGAACGUUAUUCGGAAUCACUGGGCUUAAAGGGUGCGUAGGCGGCGCGACAAGUUGGGUGUGAAAUCCCUCGGCUCAACCGAGGAACUGCGCCCAAAACUGUCGUGCUCGAGGGAGACAGAGGUGAGCGGAACUUUAGGGUGGAGCGGUGAAAUGCGUAGAUAUCGGAAGGAACACCAGUGGCGAAAAGCGGCUUCCUGGUCCAGCACCGACGUCAGGCACGAAAGCGUGGGGAGCAAACAGG
rnacentral:rRNA from 1 species